rnacentral:lncRNA from 1 species
CCAUACUGUAACAAGAGAGCACUGGGAGAAGAGCCAAUGAAAUGUAUGGAGUGGACGAUAUGUUGAAUGAGGGGACUGGAGGAACAAGUAUCACCUUGCGGUUCGGGAGAGUUAGAGGCUAAUGGCAGGCUUGUGGACGACUGCGGGAAGGACACGUGGAUGCUCAUCCGAACCCCAAACAAAGAGCUUCCCCAUGCUGCCGCCCGCG